CCAAAAUGGCUCUUCAAGCUGGCCAGCUGCACCAUCCCAGCUCUGUUUUGGCCAAGCUGCAGCUCACAGCAGUGAUGAUUCCACCUGGAAGAAAGCACAAAGCAAACACUGAAGAAGAGGGAGCACUAGCAGUCAGGACAUGCGUGCCUCAUGGCCGUGAAGAGAGAAAGUGUCACAAAUGAGAGGCAAUAAAGGAUGCUUUCCUGGAAAACUGCUGAUGUGACAGGCUGGACUGAGAUCUCUGUGAGGUCUGUAGCUUGUUCAGAUACCUUUUUCAGGAUCCCGAAAUACAGCCAUGCUGCUUAUACAAAGCUGACAGUGUAUAAUAUUCAGGGCUCAGUGUUAGCCCCUGGACGUGAGCCAGUGCUGACUAAAGAGUUGAUAAUUUUCUUUAAUUCCUGUGCUGGAACCUAACCUCUGGAGCGUGUAGGCAAUACAGGCCUUCAUGGACAUGCCAAAAAAUGGCCUUCAUGGACAAGCCAGUGGUGGACACUCAGAGAUCCCCAGGGAUGCUGGCCUGCUGCAGGCUGUAUCCUCCACAAACCUUGUAACAAAGGCAUGCUCCUAACUCCAGAACGAGUGAGAAAUCCUGCGAAUAUGGACCCAAAGUUUUCAUGGAAGAUUAUUGCAAGGAAGUGCCCCAUAUGGACCAAAGCUCUGUUCACCAGGUAAGCAGCCAUGGCAUGAAAGCCCUAGAGAUUGCUAAAGAGUGCUUGCAAUGGUGCCUUUCCUGCCAUUACUGCCAUCAUGCAUGAGGCCUUGAAUCUAAAGGUCCUCCAACAAACUUCUGUUGGUGUCUUCAAAACCAUGGCUGCUGAACCCCCAAAAUCAAGCCCUAAGCAUGCACAUAGGAAGGGGUAUGGAUUACAGGUUUCUGCUGAUGGGAGCUAAGCUGCCUCCCGCCAUGGUGCAGAUAAAGUUUGGUCAACAUUUGUGUGUGCUCAGAGUGCUUUGGUGAAGGCUGCGCAUCCAUCAGGCAGGAAAAACAGAAGUCUUGUAGUUAAAAGCAUCACCCCUUGGCUUCAAAUCCUUCCCUUUGAUGUAAGUAACAAGCUGAACUUUCCACUAUGGUGAAUUAUGGCACAAGGCUUUCUUAAUCUUACCUGUUGGACACUGUACAAAUGGCUUAUGAGGAGGAUCUGAACCUGUCUUUUGUAUCUCGGAUGAGAGCCCUACUGGGCAGGUUGUAGAAGCAACCACCAGCAGACAUGAAGUAAAGAAAGAACAAGUGAAAUGGCUCUAGCUUGAAGCUCACCCUGGAGUGUCUGAAAGCUUAAAUUGAGAUGUGUUUAGUCUCUUCCAGCUCAGGUAGAAGAAUCCUACAAAUCACCAGUGCCUUUGCACUGUACAGCCAGGAGACCACUCGUGGCUGCUAGAGCCAUUAUUUUUCUCCAUGAGAAGAGGUUGAUAGGCUCAGCUGGAAGUCAAGAGAGAGCAGCUGGACAGACAGUACGUGUGUGAAUGCUCACUGGACACACUGCUGACCAACUUAGCCACUCAGUCCAUGUCUAUACUUUAACUACUGUACUUGCAUUUUGUCUUGUUGGAUUUGAAAAUAAAGGUAUUGGGUGUGAAA